AACGAACGCUGGCGGCAUGCCUAACACAUGCAAGUCGAACGAGACCUUCGGGUCUAGUGGCGCACGGGUGCGUAACGCGUGGGAACCUGCCCUUAGGUUCGGAAUAACUCCCCGAAAGGGGUGCUAAUACCGGAUAAUGUCUUCGGACCAAAGAUUUAUCGCCUUUGGAUGGGCCCGCGUUGGAUUAGCUAGUUGGUAGGGUAAAAGCCUACCAAGGCGACGAUCCAUAGCUGGUCUGAGAGGAUGAUCAGCCACACUGGGACUGAGACACGGCCCAGACUCCUACGGGAGGCAGCAGUGGGGAAUAUUGGACAAUGGGCGAAAGCCUGAUCAAGCAAUGCCGCGUGAGUGAUGAAGGCCGUAGGGUUGUAAAGCUCUUUUACCCGAGAUGAUAAUGACAGUACCGGGAGAAUAAGCUCCGGCUAACUACGUG
rnacentral:rRNA from 1 species